CCUACGGGAGGCAGCAGUGGGGAAUUUUGGACAAUGGGCGCAAGCCUGAUCCAGCAAUGCCGCGUGCAGGAAGAAGGCCUUCGGGUUGUAAACUGCUUUUGUCAGGGAAGAAAUCUUCUGGGUUAAUACCUCGGGAGGAUGACGGUACCUGAAGAAUAAGCACCGGCUAACUACGUGCCAGCAGCCGCGGUAAUACGUAGGGUGCGAGCGUUAAUCGGAAUUACUGGGCGUAAAGCGUGCGCAGGCGGCUUUGCAAGACAGAUGUGAAAUCCCCGGGCUCAACCUGGGAACUGCCUUUGUGACUGCAAGGCUAGAGUACGGCAGAGGGGGAUGGAAUUCCGCGUGUAGCAGUGAAAUGCGUAGAUAUGCGGAGGAACACCAAUGGCGAAGGCAAUCCCCUGGGCCUGUACUGACGCUCAUGCACGAAAGCGUGGGGAGCA
rnacentral:rRNA from 1 species